UGAGGUUUUCUUCUACCUUGCUCAGAACAAUGUCAUGUUUGAAGGUAUCCUCCUGAAACCGAGCAUGGUUACUCCCGGAGCUGAGUGUAAAGACAGAGCUACUCCUGAACAAGUUUC